UACAGAGGUCUCAAGCGUUGUUCGGAUUCAUUGGGCGUAAAGGGUGCGUAGGCGGCGCGGUAAGUCGGGUGUGAAAUCUCGGAGCUUAACUCCGAAACUGCAUUCGAUACUGCCGUGCUUGAGGACUGGAGAGGAGACUGGAAUUUACGGUGUAGCGGUGAAAUGCGUAGAUAUCAAGAGGAACACCUGCGGCGAAGGCGGGUUGCUGGGCCGACACUGACGCUGAGGCGCGAAAGCUAGGGGGAGCGAACGGG
rnacentral:rRNA from 1 species